rnacentral:siRNA from 1 species
UCACUUUAGGUGUUAAAUAGUG